rnacentral:rRNA from 1 species
AUUGAGCGCUGGCGGCAGGCCUAACACAUGCAAGUCGAGCGGAUGAAGGGAGCUUGCUCCUGGAUUCAGCGGCGGACGGGUGAGUAAUGCCUAGGAAUCUGCCUGGUAGUGGGGGAUAACGUCCGGAAACGGGCGCUAAUACCGCAUACGUCCUGAGGGAGAAAGUGGGGGAUCUUCGGACCUCACGCUAUCAGAUGAGCCUAGGUCGGAUUAGCUAGUUGGUGGGGUAAAGGCCUACCAAGGCGACGAUCCGUAACUGGUCUGAGAGGAUGAUCAGUCACACUGGAACUGAGACACGGUCCAGACUCCUACGGGAGGCAGCAGUGGGGAAUAUUGGACAAUGGGCGAAAGCCUGAUCCAGCCAUGCCGCGUGUGUGAAGAAGGUCUUCGGAUUGUAAAGCACUUUAAGUUGGGAGGAAGGGCAGUAAGUUAAUACCUUGCUGUUUUGACGUUACCAACAGAGUAAGCACCGGCUAACUUCGUG